UCACUGACUAUGUGCACGUUUUGUGUGCGU
rnacentral:sRNA from 1 species